UGGGGAAUAUUGGACAAUGGGCGCAAGCCUGAUCCAGCCAUGCCGCGUGGAUGAUGAAGGCCCUAGGGUUGUAAAGUCCUUUCGGCGGGGAAGAUAAUGACGGUACCCGCAGAAGAAGCCCCGGCUAACUUCGUGCCAGCAGCCGCGGUAAUACGAAGGGGGCUAGCGUUGCUCGGAAUCACUGGGCGUAAAGCGCACGUAGGCGGACUCUUAAGUCGGUGGUGAAAUCCUGGAGCUCAACUCCAGAACUGCCUUCGAUACUGAGAGUCUCGAGUCCGGGAGAGGUGAGUGGAACUGCGAGUGUAGAGGUGAAAUUCGUAGAUAUUCGCAAGAACACCAGUGGCGAAGGCGGCUCACUGGCCCGGUACUGACGCUGAGGUGCGAAAGCGUGGGGAGCAAACA
rnacentral:rRNA from 1 species